UCAUGGAGACAGACUGUGUUUGGAGAUAGACAGAGGGAGAAAUGAUGAAAUGUCUGUAUAUUUAUCAUGGCCUUUUCAACUGCACAUCAUAGAAAUCCACCAACCCUCCCCUCAAAAAUAAUACAUUUCCAUACAAGAGGAAAUCAGACUGAAGGCCUGUGACAACCCAAAGUCAAGCAAGUCUAUUGGUGACAUUUUUUCCAACAGCGUCUGCUUGUUUUCUGUCUCCAUGUCAGUUUGGGAAGGUCAUAGAAGAUACUAGGACUUUCACCUCGCCCCCUCUUUUCGAUUGAUUCUCCGGGGGAAGCCAGCCACCAUGUUGUAAGGAUGUGCAAGCAGCUGCCUGGAAAAUCCACACGGCAAGGAACUGAGGCCUCCUGUUGACAGCAAGCACACCUUGCCAGCCGUGCGAAUGAAAGGCCCUGGAACUGGAUCCUCCAGCUCCAGACAAGUCUUCAGAUGAGUCUACAGCCCCAGGUGACUCCCUGACCCUGAGCCAGACCCCUCUGGCUAAGCACCUCCCGGAUUUCUGACUCAGUGGAGG